rnacentral:rRNA from 1 species
AUUGAACGCUGGCGGUAUGCUUUACACAUGCAAGUCGAACGGCAGCACGGGGGCAACCCUGGUGGCGAGUGGCGAACGGGUGAGUAAUACAUCGGAACGUGCCCGGUCGUGGGGGAUAACGUAGCGAAAGUUACGCUAAUACCGCAUACGAUCUGAGGAUGAAAGCGGGGGACCUUCGGGCCUCGCGCGAUCGGAGCGGCCGAUGUCAGAUUAGGUAGUUGGUGGGGUAAAGGCCUACCAAGCCGACGAUCUGUAGCUGGUCUGAGAGGACGACCAGCCACACUGGGACUGAGACACGGCCCAGACUCCUACGGGAGGCAGCAGUGGGGAAUUUUGGACAAUGGGCGCAAGCCUGAUCCAGCCAUUCCGCGUGCAGGACGAAGGCCUUCGGGUUGUAAACUGCUUUUGUAUGGAACGAAAAGGCUCUGGCUAAUACCUGGGGCUCAUGACGGUACCGUAAGAAUAAGCACCGGCUAACUACGUG